rnacentral:misc_RNA from 1 species
AAAGCUUAUCUGGGAUUAUGAAGGCACGACAAAUGAUAAUAGAAAAACCAGGCAUGACUUGUAUCUAAAGCAAUUUAACAAACCAACCGGAACCAGAUCUAUCAGACAUCAAUGCAACACAGAAAGAAGAUGGGCACAUAGUCCAAAUGCCUUUAUUCCCCUGAAAACGAGUGAAGAAACCAGUUCCUCCUAAUGAAGUAACCAACGACAUUUUAGUGAGAGAAAAUGGAGGAAAUGCAAUCAAGGGUGAAUGGCCUAAGUCUACUAGCUUAACACAACAGAAGCUACAACAUGAUAAAAUUACUAGGCAUCUAACUCCAUGAAAUGAACAAAAUUAAUUUGCAUACAUAAUAGAUCAAGGAAUUCCUCAAUCAAUGGACAUCCUCAUAUACCCACAAAAGCACUUGCUCAUAUAUUUUGAAAUAUGACGCGUCCAAUUCGUUGCAUAAAGAGAUGUUGAAUAUACACAUAUUGUCAUGCACUAAAUCUACUUAUACAAAGUUAAACGAGAAUCUAUCCUCAAGAAU